CCAAUAGCGUAUAUUAAAGUUGUCGCAGUUAAAAAGCUCGUAGUUGAAUUUCGGGAUCAAUGUUUCGGUCAUGCCGUUGGUAUGUACUGAUAUUAUUGAUUUCUCACCUUCUAAAGAACCGUAAUGCCAUUAAUUUGGUGUCACGGGGAAUUAGGACUGUUACCUUGAAAAAAUUAGAGUGUUUAAAGCAGGCUAACGCUUGAAUACAUUAGCAUGGAAUAAUGAAAUAGGACGUUCGAUCUUAUUUUGUUGGUUUCUAAGAUUGACGUAAUGAUUAAUAGGGAUAGUUGGGGGCAUUAGUAUUCAAUUGUCAGAGGUGAAAUUCUUGGAUUUAUUGAAGACUAACUACUGCGAAAGCAUUUGCCAAGGAUGUUUUCAUUAAUCAAGAACGAAAGUUAGGGGAUCGAAGACGAUCAGAUACCGUCGUAGUCUUAACCAUAAACUAUGCCGACUAGGGAUCGGAUGAUGUUAAUUUUUUAAUGACUCAUUCGGCGCCUUACG
rnacentral:rRNA from 1 species